GACGAACCGUGCGAACGUUGUUCGGAUUCACUGGGCUUAAAGGGCGCGUAGGCGGCGGCUCAAGUCGGGGGUGAAAUCCUCUCGCUUAACGAGAGAAUUGCUUUCGAUACUGGGUCGCUGGAGGGAGAUAGGGGUGCGCGGAACUUCCGGUGGAGCGGUGAAAUGCGUAGAUAUCGGAAGGAGCGCCGGUGGCGAAAGCGGCGCACUGGAUCUCUUCUGACGCUGAGGCGCGAAAGCCAGGGGAGCAAACGGG
rnacentral:rRNA from 1 species